UUUCCACUCCCUCUAAAACAAAAAUCUUCACAUUCCACUCAAAUCAAAUGCUGAGGCCCUAAACCCGAAUGGCAGACCAAAGGGAUCUCUCUCAUCAAAUGUCAGUGCUGAAGCCCUAAGCCCGCCGCCAACACCAUCAAAUCUCCCACGCCAGUAGAUUAUUAGUAAUGGAGUGAAGCAUUUUGCAGUAAAUUUUGGUUUCGAAAGUUUCGGCCGAGCCCCAGGAGUAGAAAAAAAUUGUGUUUCUCCCAGAAGCCCCUCUAAAUGAAGGCUUAUUUAACCAAAGAACAAAUUGAUUGUGAGUUGGAAGCAUGUUUUGGAGUCAAGAAUGUUGUUUGGGAGUUCUGAAGGCUUAUUUAACCAAAGAACAAAUUGAUUGUGAGUUGGAAGCAAGUUUUGGAGUCAAGAAUGUUGUUUCGG